AGAAAUUGAGAGGGCAAGGUGUGUUUUGUGCACAUGCAGAGUCCGAGUAUGUGGGAGACAGAGGUGGGGGCAGAGGGCCGGAGCAUGACUCUACCUCAGAGCAGAAUCCUCCCUCAAGGAGCUCGGAGAAAAUGAAGAGAUUUCCCAGGCCCUCCAAGUGAGCGAGGCCCUUUCCCAGAGUGCUUUUUUCCACUCAGCAGAGGACACUUCUCAUAUCCAUGGUCUUCUUUCUGUGUGGGAUGAGGCUAAGGCCCUGGGCUAUGCUUGUCCAACAACCCACAACCAGGUCACACUUCACGGGUGGCUCCUUGGAGCCCCUUACAGGCUCUGUGUAGCAUGGAUUUUCACAUGUCCUUGAAGGGAUGUCUUUUCCCAGGAUGUGUCCUCAUGUGUGUACAGGGACUAAGAAGAUUGAUGGGCUUUCCCACACUUGCUGCAAGGACACCUGCUGCCCAGAUGGGCCUCUCCUCCCUGUGUAAUCUUAUGUGCUUCUGGAAAUACUGAAAGGGACCAAAGGCUUUGUGGCACAGCUCACACGUGUGAGGCUUCUCUCAGCCACGUAUCCUGACGUGCUCUUGAAGGGGAGACUGGGAAGUGAAGGCUUUCCCACCUUGCUGGCAUCUGUAGGGUCUCUCUCUGCUGUGUGUCCUCGUGUGGACGUUGAGGGAUGCUGAGAAGCUGAAGGUCCUCCCGAACUGUGCACAUGCUCGUGGCUUCACCCCGCUGUGCAUCUUCAGGUGUGUCUGGAAGUAGGCUUGGGAGUGGUAGGUUUUCACACACUGCUUAUAUAGUAAGGACUGGUUCCCAAAUGUGUCAUCCAGUGUGCCUUCGUGGACACAGAGUACCAGAAGGCUCUGCUCCACUCACGACACGCAUGUGGUUGUCUCAGGAUGAUGAGUGACAGCCGAAAGCUCUCCCACACACUUUACACUUGUGUGCCCUCAUGUGUCCUUUAAGACAGAAGUAGAAGCUAAAGGCUCCCCCACGUGAGUGAGUUACAUGCAUGACUUUGCUCUGUGACCUCUCGUGUGUCCCUUUAAGGAGGAGAAACAGGAAAAAGAGUCCACGUUUCAUACAUUCCAGGAUCUUUGUCCUGCUAGGACUCUGCACACUUUUCCAAGAUGCUUUCCCAGUGUCUUCACACUUGUUGGUGCUCUCCUCAACACCAGUCUCCACUCAAGGGCAUUAGCACAGCAGGCUCUCCCCACAGUCCUCACAAGGAUACAAUUUGUGAUCUUGUGAGGGGCAUUUUCUGGUUCUGAGAUUUGCCUGGGCUUUGUGUCAUCACUGGCUCCACCUACAGGACACAGUAGGACCCUCAGCCUGGCCAAAGCCACCUUCUUCACAGAGUCUGUCCAUAAAAGGACUGCAAUUCAAAGCAGGAAGAACAGUUAAGGAGUUAUUAGAGAUUACAAAUAGCUUCAAGUCAAUGUUCAGAAUUUUGUGUAAGACAGUGUCUUGUGCCAGGCAGUGGUGGCACAGCCAUUUGCCGUGCUUCACUCGUAUGAAGAGUGUUUUGAUGAAAAGGAGCAAGCUGACCAAGGAAAAAUAGAAAAUGCAUGGUUCAAGGAGAAAAGGAGCGCCAGGAAGUGGAGUUAAAUCCUGGGAGAAAAACAGACUAAAGACAUUAAAUAGAAUAAAGGGAGCGAUGACCUCAGGGCGAGAUCCCACCCAGAAGGCUUUCAUCUUGUGAAAAGGAAUUAAAGAACAACUGGGUCCAGGGACCUUUAAUCCUAGCAUUCCGGAGAUAAAGACUGCACGUGUCUGAGUCCAAGGCCAGCCUGGUCUACGAGCAAGAUCCGGGACAGCCAGGCUUAACCAGCGAAGGAAGCCAUGGAGAACAGAAAGCUACUGAAAAUGGGACUGAACACGGGACAUCUUCCACCUGUGAACCUAAACUUAGGUCAUCACUUUGGCCGCAAACACUGUAAUCCACUGAGCCCCACUCCAGGCUCAUUAUUUACUUAUUUGUAUGUAACAUCUGCAGAUGUUCUUUAUAACCUUUCGAUACCGACUGCCUGUGCGUCUGCGUUCCAGGUACAGAGUUGAUGCGCAUGGUUCCCAUGGAAACAGCACCGCGUCCCACCCCUCCCGUAGCCCUGCGGGGACCCGAACGUGUUGUCCUGCACUGAAGCUAAUGCUACCAUGUACCCUAACCCGAGGUCACGACCUCCCGCAGACACACAAAUCUUUAACCCUUCCCUGCCCUUCGACCUCAGUCCUCGACCUGAGAAUUGUUUUUUGGCUCUGGACACGUUGAACGAAUGAGGAAUUAUUUUGGGUCAAGAACGACAGCGACGAAGACCGAGGCGGCAGAGAAACAUAUUUACGUUCCUGGUUAUCCCACGGUCGAGCAU
rnacentral:lncRNA from 1 species